UGCAAGUCGAGUGGGUUUAGACCCACGGCGAACGGCUGAGGAACACAUGGGUACCUACCCCGAACUCAGGGAUAUCCCGCCGAAAGGCGGAGUAAUACCGGAUGCCCUCGCAAGAGGAAAGAUUUAUCGGUUCGGGAGGGGCCUGUGUCCUAUCAGGUAGUUGGUAAGGUAACGGCUUACCAAGCCUAUGACGGGUAACUGGUCUGAGAGGACGGCCAGUCAGAAUGGAACUGAGACACGGUCCAU
rnacentral:rRNA from 1 species